rnacentral:rRNA from 1 species
GAUGAACGCUGGCGGCGUGCCUAAUACAUGCAAGUCGAGCGAACAGACGAGGAGCUUGCUCCUCUGACGUUAGCGGCGGACGGGUGAGUAACACGUGGAUAACCUACCUAUAAGACUGGGAUAACUUCGGGAAACCGGAGCUAAUACCGGAUAAUAUAUUGAACCGCAUUGUUCAAUAGUGAAAUACGGUUUUUCUGUCACUUAUAGAUGGAUCCUCGCCGCAUUAGCUUGUUGGUAAGGUAACGGCUUACCAAGGCAAGGAUGCGAAGCCGACCUGACAGGGUGAUCGGCCACACUGGAACGGAAACACGGUCCAGACUCCUACGGGAGGCAGCAGUAGGGAAUCUUCCGCAAUGGGCGAAAGCCUGACGGAGCAACGCCGCGUGGGUGAUGAAAGUCUUCGGAUCGUAAAACUCUGUUAUUAGGGAAGAACAAAUGUGUAAGUAACUAUGCACGUCUUGACGGUACCUAAUCAGAAAGCCACGGCUAACUACGUG